rnacentral:rRNA from 1 species
ACGAACGCUGGCGGCGCGCCUAACACAUGCAAGUCGAACGGAGCUUAGAGAGUUUGCUUUUUAAGCUUAGUGGCGAACGGGUGAGUAACGCGUGAGUAACCUGCCCUAGAGUGGGGGACAACAGUUGGAAACGACUGCUAAUACCGCAUAAGCCCACGGUACCGCAUGGUACUGAGGGAAAAGGAUUUAUUCGCUUUAGGAUGGACUCGCGUCCAAUUAGCUAGUUGGUGAGGUAACGGCCCACCAAGGCGACGAUUGGUAGCCGGACUGAGAGGUUGAACGGCCACAUUGGGACUGAGACACGGCCCAGACUCCUACGGGAGGCAGCAGUGGGGGAUAUUGCACAAUGGGGGAAACCCUGAUGCAGCGACGCCGCGUGGAGGAAGAAGGUCUUCGGAUUGUAAACUCCUGUUGUUGAGGAAGAUAAUGACGGUACUCAACAAGGAAGUGACGGCUAACUACGUG